GUUGUCCAGUGGCUUUACCUG
rnacentral:misc_RNA from 1 species